rnacentral:rRNA from 1 species
AGAGUUUGAUCCUGGCUCAGGAUGAACGCUAGCGACAGGCCUAACACAUGCAAGUCGAGGGGCAGCGAAGAGGUAGCAAUACCUCUGUCGGCGACCGGCGCACGGGUGAGUAACACGUAUGCAAUCCACCUGUAACAGGGGGAUAACCCGGAGAAAUCCGGACUAAUACCCCAUAAUAUGGGCUCUCCGCAUGGAGGGUCCAUUAAAGAGAGCAAUUUUGGUUACAGACGAGCAUGCGCUCCAUUAGCCAGUUGGCGGGGUAACGGCCCACCAAAGCGACGAUGGAUAGGGGUUCUGAGAGGAAGGUCCCCCACAUUGGAACUGAGACACGGUCCAAACUCCUACGGGAGGCAGCAGUGAGGAAUAUUGGUCAAUGGUCGGCAGACUGAACCAGCCAAGUCGCGUGAGGGAAGACGGCCCUACGGGUUGUAAACCUCUUUUGUCGGAGAGUAAAGUACGCUACGUGUAGCGUAUUGCAAGUAUCCGAAGAAAAAGCAUCGGCUAACUCCGUGCCAGCAGCCGCGGUAAUACGGAGGAUGCGAGCGUUAUCCGGAUUUAUUGGGUUUAAAGGGUGCGUAGGCGGCACGCCAAGUCAGCGGUGAAAUUUUCGGGCUCAACCCGGACUGUGCCGUUGAAACUGGCGAGCUAGAGUGCACAAGAGGCAGGCGGAAUGCGUGGUGUAGCGGUGAAAUGCAUAGAUAUCACGCAGAACCCCGAUUGCGAAGGCAGCCUGCUAGGGUGCGACAGACGCUGAGGCACGAAAGCGUGGGUAUCGAACAGGAUUAGAUACCCUGGUAGUCCACGCAGUAAACGAUGAAUACUAACUGUUUGCGAUACAAUGUAAGCGGUACAGCGAAAGCGUUAAGUAUUCCACCUGGGGAGUACGCCGGCAACGGUGAAACUCAA